AUCAAGCUUAAUUCUUUAAUUUUCUUCUUUCUAAGUUCAGAAUCAAGCUUUAAUGCCUUAAUUUGAAGAUUUUGGUAUUGUAAUUAGAUUCAAUUUGGGAGAUUAAAUUAGAAAUUGGGGGUUUUAGUGUUAAAUCGAAUUUUAGGGUGGUGGGUUGGUCUGCUAUGGUGUUAGUUUUCUAGUUUUUUUCUCUGCUUCUUCACAAAUUUCGUAUUCUUACAAGUUCAUAUUUUUGCACCAAAUGGCAAAAAUAUAGGUUGAAACUGCGGGCGAAGAAAUUGGUUCCUCAGUUCAAUCGAUAAAAAUAAAAGACGCAUAAAGGAAAAGAAUGCAGGAGUGAUUAAAGAACUUAGCAACUAAUGUGACUGCUUAUGGACUCAAGUUCCAGUUAACACGAUGAUACGAAAUACAAUGUCCUACUGUCACAAAAGAAAAAAAUGUAUGUAGACAAUUAGACAUCUAUGUUUGUUAGCUUUCCUAGUACUAAAAAUCUGCUAUGUUUCCAUCAUUUUGAUUGCUAUUCGCCUUUGGGAUUUAACCUAGUUGCAACACAUGUAUAUGUAAAGGCACUUUCAGUGGAGGAAUUUGCAGUUCGACUUGCAAAGCACUUCACAUCGCUUUACCAGCAGGUAAAUACUAUGUAAUUUAAGCGUUUUUUUUAAAUUAAAUUUCAUUAGUUAAUCCCAUAUUGUAGACGAAAAGGGAAAAUGGACGAUACUUUUACUAUUGUCGCUGCUGAAACGAUGGAUGUUGUUGUUAUUCUUGGUCGGCUUCUUGGUCUUUGUUUUCUCAUAUAACUGCUCUUCCUUUGGUUAGAGGUGCAUCUUCUUCUAAUGGUUUACGGUGUAUAUGUUAUUAUCACUAAUUGGUGGUACUCACUAAAUCAGUUAUGAAUUUCUGGUCACUUUAACUAAUCAAGUUUUCAUCUGGACAGCUUAAUGUUUUUACCCUUUCCCUGAAAGCAUGACUCAUGGAAAUUCAUUAAUAUUUCAUUUGUAGAAGUUGGUUUCUUUUAAGUUUGAUUGGUUGUCUUAAGUUUGGACUUUUUUUUGCUCUGUGUCUCUCUAUCUCAAGCUUGAACACGAACACCCGCCCUCUUUCCCAUACACACACAGUUUCACACUUUGAAUACUACCUUGUUGGAACUGCAGCAACUUCUUCUGGCCAUGUUUUAUGCUUUUAGUAUUUGCAUAAUCUAGAAAGAGAGUUGUCGUUUUGAAAUAUAAAAACGAAUUAAAAAAAGGAGAAAGCUUUCUUCCCUGCAACUUUAGUGUUAGAGUUAUUGAUCUAAUAAGUUGUCAGAUGUUCCUAAUUGUUGUGAACGUAAGGCUUCAUUUAGAAAUAGAAAUGAAUGAUUUGUGUAAUUUAACUAAAUGGUGACUCGAAAGAAUCAUUAUUGAAAACAUGAUUGAGUUCAGAAUAUAUAUGCAAUGGGGUUUAUUGUUCUAUGAUUAGGGAAUCACAGUCAUCUCAUUACUAGGAACGUAAUGCUAGCACGGAUGCAGGUGGACUAUUUUAGCCAAUAAGCUAUACUUUGUUGUGAAGAACUUCAAUUAUAGGUAUGAUAUUGUUAUUCAUGUUCACCGUUGUUUGAUGUAUGUAAUCAAACUAGCUAUGAAUGUCUAGUUCUUAGGUCAACAUAUAAACCAUAUCAUAUAGCAGUCAUGAGUUCUUGAGAUUGCUGCUGAUUCUCUAUCCAGAAAAUCACAUAUAAUCUGUUUGAAACGUUCACCUAUCAACGAUGUGCUUCAGCAUUUUAUUUGUUUUCCAUCCAAAUGCCCAAUAGUGGCUAUCUAUCAGAGCUACUAUUUCCUUUAGGAAUCGGCAUCCCAACAAUGAGAACAGUGACAAGCUUUAUGGUGAUAUGGUGGAAAAGAGCACUGCUAUUCUCCAAGAAGCAACAUCUCAGCUUCCCCAAGAGACCUCGAUCGAGGACGUCAUUGUACCCAAGGAUGCAGAUGUUCAGAUCGUGACUGAGGUCCUGGAUCAGAAGUUCGGCCGUCGUCAUGGUAAGGCGGGGGUUCGUGAAACGAGUGCCUCUUCUUCCAGAUUGUCCACAGGAGAGGUCAAUUCCUUGAAGGAGGAAGUGACAACCCUAAGAGGUCAGCUUGUGGCCUAGGGCGACCACAUUAGGGCCCAUGACGAGAGGAUGAAUAUGAUUGUUCAGGCCUUAGCGAUGUCCGGCCUCCAAAUCCCGACGAUGCCAGCACCUAAUGUUGCUCCACCUUCGACUUCCCAGCCACUUCGCCCAGACGAUACCGAGUAGCAUGAUGUAUAUAUUAAACUUAGAAGACUUGUAGUUUUUUAUUUUUUUGUUCGGACAAACGUACAUUUUCAUAUAUUCUAUAAUUAAUUACUUUUUCUUGGUUUA